AUUGAACGCUGGCGGCAUGCCUUACACAUGCAAGUCGAACGGCAGCACGGGAGCAAUCCUGGUGGCGAGUGGCGAACGGGUGAGUAAAGUAUCGGAACGUGCCCAGUCGUGGGGGAUAACGUAGCGAAAGUUACGCUAAUACCGCAUACGACCUAUGGGUGAAAGCGGGGGAUCGCAAGACCUCGCGCGAUUGGAGCGGCCGAUAUCAGAUUAGGUAGUUGGUGGGGUAAAGGCUCACCAAACCGACGAUCUGUAGCUGGUCUGAGAGGACGACCAGCCCCACUGGGACUGAGACACGGCCCAGACUCCUACGGGAGGCAGCAGUGGGGAAUUUUGGACAAUGGGCGAAAGCCUGAUCCAGCCAUGCCGCGUGCAGGAUGAAGGCCUUCGGGUUGUAAACUGCUUUUGUACGGAACGAAAAGGUUUGGCCUAAUAAGCUGAGCUCAUGACGGUACCGUAAGAAUAAGCACCGGCUAACUACGUGCCAGCCGCCGCAGUAA
rnacentral:rRNA from 1 species